ensembl:lncRNA
UGGGUGGGUAGGAUGGGACUACAGGCAGGGAGACAGGUGGGUGGGUAGGAUGGAACUACAGGCAGGGAGACAGGUGGGUGGGUAGUAUGGAACUACAGGCAGGGAGACAGGUGGGUGGGUGGGUAGGAUGGGACUACAGGCACUGAGACAGGUGGGUGGGUAGGAUGGGACUGCAGGCAGGGAGACAGGUGGGUGGGUAGGAUGGGACUACAGGCACUGAGACAGGUGGGCGGGUAGGAUGGGACUGCAGGCAGGCCAGCUCUUAGUUCUAUUUCUAGCCCUGUCUUCCCUUCAGAAGAGUCGUCAAACAAGCCGCCCUCUCAUGGACAG